rnacentral:rRNA from 1 species
AACGAACGCUGGCGGCAGGCUUAACACAUGCAAGUCGAACGGGUGUCGCAAGACAUCAGUGGCAGACGGGUGAGUAACACGUGGGAACCUUCCUAGGGGUACGGAACAACUCAGGGAAACUUGAGCUAAUACCGUAUACGUCCGUAGGGAGAAAGAUUCAUCGCCCCUAGACGGGCCCGNGUCGGAUUAGGUAGUUGGUGGGGUAACGGCCUACCAAGCCUACGAUCCGUAGCUGAUCUGAGAGGANGAUCAGCCACACUGGGACUGAGACACGGCCCAGACUCCUACGGGAGGNAGCAGUGGGGAAUCUUGGACAAUGGGCGCAAGCCUGAUCCAGCCAUGCCGCGUGAGUGAAGAAGGCCUUAGGUUGUAAAGCUC